AUUGAACGCUGGAGGUAUGCUUAACACAUGCAAGUCGAACGGUAACGAUGCUAGCUUGCUAGCAGGCGACGAGUGGCGGACGGGUGAGUAACGCGUAGGAAUAUACCUAGUAGUGGGGGAUAACAUGGAGAAAUUCAUGCUAAUACCGCAUAUGUCCCAUGGGAUAAAGAGGGCCUCUUCUUGAAAGCUCUUGCUAUUAGAUUAGCCUGCGUCGGAUUAGCUUGUUGGUGAGGUAAUGGCUCACCAAGGCGACGAUCCGUAGCUGGUCUGAGAGGAUGAUCAGCCACACUGGGACUGAGACACGGCCCAG
rnacentral:rRNA from 1 species